UACGGAGGGUGCAAACGUUGCUCGGAAUUAUUGGGCGUAAAGCGCACGUAGGCGGCCGAUUAAGUCGGGUGUGAAAGCCCAGGGCUCAACCCUGGAAGUGCACUCGAAACUGGACGGCUUGAAUAUGGAAGAGGGUUGCGGAAUUCCCGGUGUAGAGGUGAAAUUCGUAGAUAUCGGGAGGAACACCAGUGGCGAAGGCGGCUCACUGGUCCAUUACUGACGCUGAGGUGCGAAAGCGUGGGGAGCAAACAGG
rnacentral:rRNA from 1 species